UUCAUUUGCAGUCGACGUGAGGUGGAGCA
rnacentral:piRNA from 1 species